rnacentral:rRNA from 1 species
UACAGAGGGGGCAAGCGUUGUUCGGAAUUACUGGGCGUAAAGGGCGCGUAGGCGGCCCACUAAGUCGAACGUGAAAUCCCUGGGCUCAACCCAGGAACUGCGUCCGAUACUGGUGGGCUCGAAUCCGGGAGAGGGAUGUGGAAUUCCAGGUGUAGCGGUGAAAUGCGUAGAUAUCUGGAGGAACACCGGUGGCGAAGGCGGGUCUCUGGGCAGUAACUGACGCUGAGGAGCGAAAGCGUGGGGAGCGAACAGG